ensembl:lncRNA
GUGCGGAAGGAUCAUUUGUCAACAAUCCUGAGAGGUCAGCCGGGCCUCGACUUCCAGAGAGACCCGGAAGAGACGGUCUGGAAAGGCUGUGACCAAUGGGGAGUUGCAGCACCCCGACUCACUGCUACUGCAUCCGAGGUCACAGACGCGUCUGAAAGUGUUAGUGUCCUCUGUGCCCACCCAGCAGCUCCCCACUGCAGACGAGCCUCAGUGCCAGCAAUGACUGUGUGCGGCCCCGCCAUUCUGACUACUGGACGGGGAAAACCACUAGACCGUUCAGGUAUGAUCUAAAUCAAAUCCCCUAUGAUUAUAUAGUGGAAGUUACAAACAGAUUCAAGGGAUUAGAUCUGAUAGACAGAGUGCCUGAAGAACUAUGGAUGGAGGUUCAUGACAUUGUACAGGAGGCAGUGAUCAAGAUCAUCCCCAAGAAAAAGAAAUACAAAAAGGCAAAAUAGUUGUCCGAGGGGCCUUACAAAUAGCUGAGAAAAGAAGAGAAUCAAAAAACAAAGGAAAAAAGGAAAUAUAUACCGAUUUGAAUGCAGAGUUCUAAAGAAUAGCAAAAGAGAGAUAAGAAAGCCUUCCCAAGUGAUUAAUGCAAAGAAAUAGAGGAAAACAAUAGAAUGGAAAAGACUAGAGAUCUCUUCAAGAAAAUUAGAGAUACGAAGGGAACAUUUCAUUCAAGGAUGGGCACAAUAAAGGACAAAAACAGUAUGGACCUAACAAAAGCAGAAGAUGCUAAGAAGAGGUGAAAACAAUACACAGAAGAACUAUACAAAAAAGAUCUUAAUGACCCAGAUAACCACGAUGGAGUGAUCACUCACCUAGAACCAGACAUCCUGGAAUGCGAAGUCAAGUGGGCCUUAGAAAGCAUCACUAUGAACAAAGCUUGUGAAUGUGAUGGAAUUCCAGUUGAGCUAUUUCAAAUCCUAAAAGAUGAUGCUGUGAAAGUGCUGCACUCAAUAUGCCAGCAAAUUUGGAGAACUCAGCAGUGGACACAGGACUGGAAAACGUCAGUUUUCAUUCCAAUCCUAAAGAAAGGCAAUGCCAAAGAAUGCUCAGACUACUGCACAAUCGCACUCAUCUCACAUGCUAGCAAAGUAAUGCUUAAAAUUCUCCAAGCCAGGCUUCAACAGUACAUGAACCGUGAACUUUCAGAUGUUCAAGCUGGAUUUAGAAAAGGCAGUGGAACCAGAGGUCAAAUUGCCAACAUCUAUUGGAUGCUCAAAAAAGCAAGAGAAUUCCAUAAGAACACCUACUUCUGCUUUAUUGACAACACCAAAGCCUUUGACUGUGUGGAUCACAACAAACUGUGGAAAAGUCUUUGAGAUGGGAAUACCAGACCACCUUACCUGCCUCCUGAGAAAUCUCUAUGCAGAUCAAGAAGCAACAAUUAGAACUGGACUUGGAACAACAGACUGGUUCCAAAUCGGGAAUGGAGUACGUCAAGGCUGUAUAUUGUCACCCUGCUUUUUAAACUUACAUUCAGAAUACAUCAUGUGAAAUCCUGGGCUGGAUGAAGCACAAGCUGAAAUCAAGAUUGCUGGUAGAAGUAUCAAUAACCUCAGAUACACAGAUGACACCACUCUUAUGGCAGAAAGUGAAGAUUAACUAAAGAGCCUCUUGAUGAAAGUGAAAGAGGAGAAUGAAAAAGUUGGCUUAAAACUAACCAUUCAGAAAGCUAAGAUCAUGGCAACUGGUCCCACCACUUCAUGGCAAAUAGUUGGGGAAACAGUGGAAACAGUGACAAACUUUAUUUUGGGGGCUCCAAAAUCACUACAGAUGGUGAC